CGCUAGGGGGAGCGGGGAAAGUCACCAUUUUCAACGGAACAGCUCAACUGCUGUUCUCCUGAAUGUGACGUGUUGCCACUGACUGUCAGAAAGUCAGACUACAGUUAUGGAAUUUGAUGACCUCCAAGUGGCCUUCAGAGGCUGCCACAUGCAGGGCUGACCUCCCGUCAUAAUCCACCGCAUUCAUGUCUGCCCCAGACAGGAAGUACCUGUGGCAGUUUGGAAAGAACAGCUUGUGGAUCACAGUGGAGGUUUUCAGUUGAGCUUUUUUGUAGUCUCAUCUAGCCAGAGGUUUCAGCAGACAACAAUAUAUAAGAUAACAGAAUGUAGUCUCAUCUAGCCAGAGGUUUCAGCAGACAACAAUAUAUAAGAUAACAGAAUGUAGUCUCAUCUAGCCAGAGGUUUCAUCAGACAACAAUAUAUAAGAUAACAGAAUGUAGUCUCAUCUAGCCAGAGGUUUCAUCAGACAACAAUAUAUAAGAUAACAGAAUGUAGUCUCAUCUAGCCAGAGGUUUCAUCAGACAACAAUAUAUAAUAUAACAGAAUGUAGUCUCAUCUAGCCAGAGGUUUCAUCAGACAACAAUAUAUAAGAUAACAAAAUUUAAACCGUAGGGGAGA